ACCCUUCCUUACCUCGUAAACCGACAGACCUGGGUUUCGCCGCUGCUCCUGUUCCUCGAGCAGCCUUCAAGCAGUGGAAAUUACGGAGAAAUGAACAUUCUGAAAGCGCCUAGUAAAUGGUAAAGGCCUGGCUACUGCAGGAAGAAAAGGGCAAGGCAGGCAUCUCCAGAGCACAGCCUCGGGCGUGGUGAGAGGCGCGCGCUGGGCGCUGUGUGGGGGUGGGGAGCGCUUUUGUGCACCGCUGGUUCCUCCGCAGGCUCAGGUGUGUGCGGACAGGUGUCGCCACCUCCUUCCAGACCGUCUGCCCCUUGGGGGGAGGCAGAGUCUGUGCCUGCACCCGCCAACCCGGGACCUGAACUGGGAGCCACGUGUUGCCCUGUGAAAAAAGCCCCCGAGUGGUUGUGGUUUGCUUUUUUACACCACAGAUUGGGUUAGAAUCAUUUUCCAAAAACUUGCAAGACUUGAUCACCCUUGCUUUAAUCGGCAAGGAAGGGGGCUCAGAGAGGUUAUCGCAACGUAGGGAGGCCGCCCGAUCCGUAAGCAGGGAAACCGGAACUCGACCUGGAUCUAUGGACUGCCAAGUUCAGGCCCUUUCCAGCCUCAGUAUUUGCUAACCAGGAAGUUUUCAGGCUCUCAGGCGCGCCCCCUACGCGGUUUCUGGUUCACUCCUUAACGCACGAUCCUUGUUGAAUGAUUGCCCAAUCAGAAUUAGUUUGGCCUUGCCCCGCCCUUGAUUCCCUGGGUAACCCUGGGCCCCUCCCCCACCCCUCACUUUAUCCCAUGCAACUGUCAGGUUUAUAAUUAAUCAGGCAAGGUCUUGCAAAAUGACUUUCUCGUCAAUUUCUAGCUCAGGAAGAGAUCAGCACCAUGUGAGAUGCAGUAUUCUAACGCUCUGAAAUGUUACUUGUUGUUUAAUAAGUGAUCAUCAUUUAUUAAAUAUUCUUGAUCCUGGCCGGGCGCGGUGGCUCACGCCUGUAAUCCCAGCACCUUGGGAGGCCGAGACGGGCGGAUCACCUGAGGUCAGGAGUUCAAGACCAGCCUGGCCAACAUGGUGAAACCCCGUCUCGACUAAAAAUACAAAAUUAGCCAGGCGUGGUGGCGCAUGCCUGUAAUCCUAGCUACUCAGGAGGCUGAGGCAGGAGAAUCGCUUGAUUCAGUGAGCCGAGAUCGCGCCAUUGCACUCCAGCCGGGCGACAAGAGCUAAAUUGCGACAAGAGCUAAAUUCCGUCUCAAAAAACAAACAAACAAACAAAAAACUUGAUCUUUCAAACCGGGUUACAGCAGUUACCUCAUGCAAAAAAGCAGCCUUACUUAAAGGAUAAAUAACAUGCUUAAAACAUCAGACGGUACUGUGAAUCGGAGACUUGCGUUCUGGAAAAUGCCAUUAUUUACCCCUCUCUGGAAAAAGAUACCCGGCUGGGUGAUUAAUACACAAGGACACAAGGUCCAUUUCAUCACCCUUCUGGUGGAAAGCACAGAAGAAAGAUGUAAUGGCCAACUCCAAUAAAGCAUCUCUGUAAUUUCAUCUUUCUUUGGUAAUUGUCCUGAGAUCCCCAACACCACACAUUUUCUUUGAGAAAGCAUGCAUAUUUCUCUCUACCCUGUCAGGAAUUCUGCCGAUGCUUUAGUACAUUAGUCACUUAAUUCUCACAAUAACCUUUUGAGCAGGAACUUACUCUUGCUUGACAAAAGAGAAAAUUGUGGCUCAGAGAAUUUUUAAGAAGCCUGCCCAAGAUCUGGAUUUAAAUCUGAGUCUAGUCCCAUAUAGCUUGACCAAUGAAAUGGCAAUUAAGAAGGAAAUUCACCUCACCUUAUUUUUAGAGGAUAAUAGCAAUGCUGUCUGUGCACAGAUCAUGAGGAAGGUCUGUGGGUUUUGCAGAGUUGCAGAAAACAAAUUAUAACAGAAAACCAACAACUAAGAAUUUAUUCAAAAUGUUAAAAGUUCUAAUUAGAGUCUGCACAAAUUAUUCUUGAACAUACUUCAAUUUUAAUAUGCAAUUUAAGAAUAUAAAAUGCAUUCUAUAAAGAAAAAGAGAAAAAUUGACUCAAGAACAAAAACAGAGCUGUGAGAAAUGAAGACUAGUGUUGGAGUUAUCUAAACUCAGUCUUCAACAGGACUGCGUGCAACGCCAAGGCUCAGAGACAUCUCAUCAGCUUCAGGAGGUAUAUGGGUACUUCCAUCGCAAAAUGGCUCCAUCGGCACUUACACUAACAAUAUAUUGAUUUCCUGGACUUAUGCGGAUGCGUGUGAUGUUGCCACUGUGUCCCACCCCAACGUGAGUCACUUCACCCUCAUUAUAAUCCCAAACUUUGACCAGAUGGUCAUUUCCACCUGAAAAAGAUAAACACGUAUAUGGCAUUGCUGCAAUAGGAGAGAGAGAAACAGCCCUGAUUUCAAAUAACUGGAUCAUUUUCAACAUGGUCCCCAUGUAUCUGUCUUUAUAAUAACACUUUUACUUGAUUAUAAAAAUCUAUCUGUUGCAGUAAAUUUGAAGAGGAGGGGGAAAUACAAAGAGGUAAAAUCACAUUUCAUCCCACUACCCAGAAAUAACCACUAGUAAUAUCUUGGCUUAGUUCCUUCCAGUCUUUUCUCUAUAAGUAUACUGGUAUACAUAUACAUCAUAUAUAUGAUUGGGAUCACACUGUGUCUAGUUUGAUACCUGCUUUGUAGUCAAUGUACUUGUGAAACUUAAUUCAUUUCAUGCAUUUAUUUAUUUUUUACUUAUUUAUUUAUUGAGACGGACUGUCUGUCACUCAGGCUGGAGUGGAGUGGCAUGAUCUCAGCUCACUGCAGCCUCCGC
rnacentral:lncRNA from 10 species